rnacentral:rRNA from 1 species
AUUGAACGCUGGCGGCAGGCCUAACACAUGCAAGUCGAACGAGUGGCGGACGGGUGAGUAAUGUCUGGGAACCUGCCUGAUGUAGGGGGCUAACUACUGGAAACGGUAGCUAAUACCGCAUACCAUCAGAUGUGCCCCGAUGGGAUUCGCUAGUUGGUGGGGUAACGGCUCACCAAGGCGACGAUCCCUAGCUGGUCUGAGAGGAUGAACAGCCACACUGGAACUGAGACACGGCCCAGACUCCUCCGGGAGGCAGCAGUGGGGAAUAUUGCACAAGGGGCGCAAGCCUGAUGCAGCCAUGCCGCGUGGAUGAAGAAGGCCUUCGGGUUGUAAAGGACUUUCAGCGGUGAGGCGUUACCCGCAGAAGAAGCACCGGCUAACUCCGUGCCAGCAGCCGCGGUAAUUC